CAUAGAGUAGUUUAGUUAAGAAUCCUAGCUUUGGGAGUUAGAAGUGGGAGUUAAAAUCUUCCCUCUUUGA
rnacentral:tRNA from 1 species